AUGACUGGACGGCCUUUGCCUACCACUCCAUCUGCUGGGCUGGGCAAAACAGGGAGGAGGUCCCUAGCGGGGCUCUUGCUCUUCUUCUUGCCCUUCUUGCCUUUCUUCUUUCUUCUUCUUCUCCUUCUCCUUCUCCUUCUCCUUCUCCUUCUUUCUUCUUCUCCUUCUCCUUUCUUCUUCUCCUUCUCCUUUCUUCUUCUUCUCCUUCUUCUUUCUUCUUCUUCUUCUCUUCUUCUUCUUCUUCUCCUUCUCCUUCUUCUCCUUCUUUCUUCUUCUCCUUCUCCUUCUUUCUUCUUCUUCUUCUUCUUCUUCUUCUUCUUCUUCUUCUUCUUAUUCUUCUUCUUCUCCUUCUUUCUUCUUCUUCUUCUUCUUCUUCUUCUUCUUCUUCUUCUCCUUCUCCUUCUCCUUCUUCUCCCUCUUUCUUCUUCUCCUCCUUUCUUCUUCUUCUCCUUCUUCUUUCUUCUUCUUCUUCUUUUCUUCUUCUUCUUCUUCUCCUUCUCCUUCUUUCUUCUUCUCCUUCUUUCUUCUUCUCCUUCUCCUUCUUUCUUCUUCUUCUUCCUUCUUCUUCUUCUUCUUCUUCUUCUUCUCCUUCUCCUUCUUUCUUCUUCUCCUUCUUUCUUCUUCUCCUUCUCCUUCUUUCUUCUUCUUUUUCUUCUUCUUCUUCUUCUUCUUCUCCUUCUCCUUCUUUCUUCUUCUUCUUCUUCUUCUUCUUCUUCUUCUUCUCCUUCUCCUCUCUUCUCUCUCUUCCUCCUUUCUUCUUUUUCUUCUCCUUCUUCUUUCUUCUUCUUCUUCUCCUUCUUCUUCUUCUUCUUUCUUCUUCUUCUCCUUCUCCUUCUCCUUCUGUCUUCUUCUCCUUCUCCUCUUUCUUCUUCUCCUCUCCUUUUCUUCUCCGUCUCUCACACACACAGCUUUAUAUAUGGGGAGCUAUUACUUAUCACCAGGCACUUGCCAAGUAUUGUGCUGGUGUUAGAUUGGGUUCGGGUGCUUGGCCUCACGUUUUGUCUGCUUUUCCCUUAG
rnacentral:lncRNA from 1 species